AAAAUUUUGGGAGGCUGAGGCGGGUGGAUUCCUUGAGCUCAGGAGUUCCAGACCAGCCUGGGCAACAUGGCGAAGCCCCGUCUCUACAAAUACAAAAAUUAGCCAGGUGCAGUGGCACGCACCUGUAGUCCCAGCUACUUGAGAGCCUGAGGCAGGAGAAUAGCUUGAGCCUGGGAGGUGGAGGUUGCAGUGAGCUGAGAUAGCACCACCGCACUCCAGCCUGGGUCACAGAGCGAGACCUCACCUCAAAAAAAGAAAAAAAAAAGAUCACAACUCUAUUACCAGGAAAUAGUGAAAGUGUUGGCUUGAACCUCAGAAGGAAAUAAACAGACUCAUGAGCUAGCCAUAUAAAUGUAAUCUAUAAAAUAAUGGUUUUCAUCCAUGAUGCUUUAUGAAAAAAAAUUUUAAGCCCUAACCUUCAGAUUCUGAUUCCCCAGGUCCAUGGCAGGGCCUCAAUUUGUAGAUUUUUAGCAGUCUCUAGAGGAUUCUAUGGCAGGAGAAGAACAAGGACUCAAAUUUUUCGGCUCUUGGCUGGAGCCUCCCCAUACCCGGCAUGAUCCCUAGGCCAUGGCCCCAGCUGGAUGGGGCUCUCACCACCCCAGGGCUGCAGUAAUCCCUCCAGGUGUUCAAGAACCUCUGGCAUACGCCAGGUAGAAAAAUGUGUUUCCUUCUGUAGGUCCAAAGCCAGGGAUACCAUAUGUUCUGUAUUGAUAUGAAACAAUGACUUGCAAUUAAAACAUAUAAAUAUCCUUCCUACUCCUACCCUCCAUCCAAUGUGUUUUAUUUUUAUGAGUUAAAUAAGAAAACGAGUGGCAAUCGGAGAUUUUGUCUAAAAAGUAUAUCUACAGGUAUCAGUUCUCAUCCAGCCUGAUCUCAUCCAAUAUCAUAUAUAUUCUCUUACAUGUAAAGUUUCAGAAAAGUAUCUUCACAAUGUAAGACUCAGGCACACUAGGAGUUCUAUAAUAAAACACCAAGUAGAUCAGAAUGUCCAACCUUACUAGAGAAGAAAAGUGGAAUCAUUGGCUAUAUUUUCAAAUUGCAUUCAACAGGAAAUUUAAGUUUUGAGUUUUUUCCACCUUGAACCUGGGAAGCGGAGGUUGUGGUGAGCUGAGAUGGCGCCAUUGCACUCCAGCCUGGGCAACAAGAGCAAAACUCUGCCUCAAAAAAAAAAAAAAAAAAAAAAAAUUACUCAGAAAAAAGGAAUGAUUUCUAACAGAAAGUGGGCAAUGGAGACGCGGGAACUUCUCACAAGAAUAAAAAUGGCCAAUGAGCAUAUGAAAAAGAUUAAAAAGCACUAGAAAUCAAAGAAAUGUCAUGAAAACAAUGAGAUUUUCUGCUUAAAGACCAGCAAAGAUGACAAAUAGAAGGGGAACCUGGAGCUCUGUCUCUG
rnacentral:lncRNA from 10 species